UCGGAAUGCGGCGAGACUUUGCGAGGGGCCUCGGGGUGCCAAAAAUAAGCCGCGGGCAAAGCCGCGCCCAAAAAUAAGCGCCCGAAGGUCGUGGUGCCAAAACCCCCCAGCGGAAAAAUGGCCAAAAAACGGGUGGGCUAUAGCCUUGGUGGGGGGCGCGGGCCAAGUUCGUCCGCCGGACUCGGAAUGCGGCGAGACUUUGCGAGGGGCCUCGGGGUGCCAAAAAUAAGCCGCGGGCAAAGCCGCGCCCAAACAUAAGCGCCCGAAGGUCGUGGUGCCAAAACCCCCGAGCGGAAAAAUGGCCAAAAAACGGGUGGGCUAUAGCCUUGGUGGGGGGCGCGGGCGACGUUCGUCCGCCGGACUCGGAAUGCGGCGAGACUUUGCGAGGGGCCUCGGGGUGCCAAAAAUAAGCCGCGGGCAAAGCCGCGCCCAGAAAUAAGCGCCCGAAGGUCGUGGUGCCAAAACCCCCCAGCGGAAAAAUGGCCAAAAAACGGGUGGGCUAUAGCCUUGGUGGGGGGCGCGGGCGAAGUUCGUCCGCCGGACUCGGAAUGCGGCGAGACUUUGCGAGGGGCCUCGGGGUGCCAAAAAUAAGCCGCGGGCAAAGCCGCGCCCAAAAAUAAGCGCCCGAAGGUCGUGGUGCCAAAACCCCCCAGCGGAAAAAUGGCCAAAAAACGGGUGGGCUAUAGCCUUGGUGGGGGGCGCGGGCGAAGUUCGUCCGCCGGACUCGGAAUGGGGCGAGACUUUGCGAGGGGCCUCGGGGUGCCAAAAAUAAGCCGCGGGCAAAGCCGCGCCCAAAAAUAAGCGCCCGAAGGUCGUGGUGCCAAAACCCCCCAGCGGAAAUGGCCAAAAACGGGUGGGCUAUAGCCUUGGUGGGGGGCGCGGGCGAAGUUCGUCCGCCGGACUCGGAAUGCGGCGAGACUUUGCGAGGGGCCUCGGGGUGCCAAAAAUAAGCCGCGGGCAAAGCCGCGCCCAAAAAUAAGCGCCCGAAGGUCGUGGUGCCAAAACCCACCAGCGGAAAAAUGGCCAAAAAACGGGUGGGCUAUAGCCUUGGUGGGGGGCGCGGGCGAAGUUCGUCCGCCGGACUCGGAUUGGGGCGAGACUUUGCGAGGGGCCUCGGGGUGCCAAAAAUAAGCCGCGGGCAAAGCCGCGCCCAAACAUAAGCGCCCGAAGGUCGUGGUGCCAAAACCCCCGAGCGGAAAAAUGGCCAAAAAACGGGUGGGCUAUAGCCUUGGUGGGGGGCGCGGGCGACGUUCGUCCGCCGGACUCGGAAUGCGGCGAGACUUUGCGAGGGGCCUCGGGGUGCCAAAAAUAAGCCGCGGGCAAAGCCGCGCCCAGAA
rnacentral:lncRNA from 1 species